CUUAGGUUUGUUUGGCAUUUCUGUGAGCCAAGGACCAGCUUUAUGUGUCUUUGAGGAACUUUACUACAGUCGUCUCGUGUCCUGCUGAGAGUCUGGAUGGGAACUAAACCUACCCUGAAUUACUGAUGAACUGCAUCACCUCAUACAGGCAUGAAAAGGCCUUCAAACAUGGCAUGGACAUUGAGAACAGCUCGUACAGGUAUCUUCUCACUGUCACUGGGAACGAAGUUACAUUUUUAUUCCACAGUUCAAAGAGUUAAAGACUAAGACCAGCCAUUGUGCUUCUUAAACGUCCCACCUUCAAGAUGCAUCAUGAGCAGCGGUGACUUUCCUAGACUUUAAACCUGAAAAUCACACUAAGUACACAAGUAACGAUCGUAGCACCACUGAAAGAGGUGAGGAGGCGUGGUCACU